UUUCAGCACACAUGAUAAAGGGGAACACCAAAGCCCAGAAUAAUAAGCAAAACUUUGUGGAUUCAGCUUCACGCUCAAGGGGUUUAGACACAGUCGCCCAAAAGGGAUAUUUCACUAUUUGUUAUUUCAGGCUUUACUGUGGUGUUUUAUUCUCUCCAAUCUACGUAGACAACUUGCUGUUGUGCAGCUAUACACUACAAACUGUACGGUGGUAGAGUGAUCGUCUCCCUGAAGGUUGCAGGUUCGAUCUUCCGUCCUCACAUGAUCAUGUUGAAGUAUUCUUGGACAAGAUACUGAAGCCCUAGUUGCACCUGAUGCUGUGUCAACAGUAGGUCACCCAGCAAGGCUUGGUCUGCCUUUAUGGUUUUCUCCAUGUCGUCCACCUUCUGCUGGUACAUUUCCAAAGUCUCCAUCCAUCCCUCGGAGAGUCCCCGGGCAUACCGCUGCACCUCUUCCACAGAUGCAGCCGGGGGCCCCGAGUAAGUUUGCGUGAUGAUGGGUACCACCCUGGACUCCACCUGACGUCUGAGGUGGCCCAUCUCCUGCUUGUGCGCCUCCUCUAAGAACGCAUACUCAUUGAGGAGAUCAGUUAAACGCUGCUGGAGUGAAGUGUUGCUUUUGUGGGCGUCUUGGAGCUCCUUCUCACAGCAUCGCAGCUCCCCGCUGAUGUCCCUGCACACGUCGCUCUGCUGGCUGCACAGUGAACGCACCAUCUGCAACUCCUUCCACAACCGCUCCCUCUCCACCUCGGCGCGGGAUUUCUCCAGCGACAUCCGCUCCAUAGCUCUUCUCAGGUCCCGCAUUUCAGCCUUGUACCUCGGCUCCCAUUCCACCACCUUGGCCUGUCUCAGCUGGUUGAUCUCGCCCAUGAGACGCGCGUUCUCUCGCUCCAGUUGUUGUGUUCUGGAAAGGUACUGAGCCAACCGGCCGUUCAGCUCCUGAAGCUGAUGCUUUUCGCCUUCAAAAGUUCUCUUAAAAGGCAGCAUUGUGGUGCUUGUAUAUGUCAAAAUUGUAAAAAAAAUAAAAUAAAAUAAAAUUAAAAAAAAGAUCCAGUCAGUCAGGCGAGAUCUUUUCUCCGUG